rnacentral:rRNA from 1 species
GAUGAACGCUGGCGGCGCGCCUAAUACAUGCAAGUCGAGCGAACAGACGAGGAGCUUGCUCCUUCGACGUUAGCGGCGGACGGGUGAGUAACACGUAGGUAACCUACCUAUAAGACUGGGAUAACCUCGGGAAACCGGAGCUAAUACCGGAUAAUAUUUCGAACCGCAUGGUUCGAUAGUGAAAGAUGGCUUUGCUAUCACUUAUAGAUGGACCUGCGCCGUAUUAGCUAGUUGGUAAGGUAACGGCUUACCAAGGCAACGAUACGUAGCCGACCUGAGAGGGUGAUCGGCCACACUGGAACUGAGACACGGUCCAGACUCCUACGGGAGGCAGCAGUAGGGAAUCUUCCGCAAUGGGCGAAAGCCUGACGGAGCAACGCCGCGUGAGUGAUGAAGGUCUUCGGAUCGUAAAACUCUGUUAUUAGGGAAGAACAAACGUGUAAGUAACUGUGCACGUCUUGACGGUACCUAAUCAGAAAGCCACGGCUAACUACGUG